AUACGUAGGUGGCAAGCGUUGUCCGGAAUUAUUGGGCGUAAAGCGCGCGCAGGCGGAUCUGCCAGUCUGUCUUAAAAGUUCGGGGCUUAACCCCCGUGAUGGGAUGGAAACUACAGAUCUAGAGUAUCGGAGAGGAAAGUGGAAUUCCUAGUGUAGCGGUGAAAUGCGUAGAUAUUAGGAAGAACACCAGUGGCGAAGGCGGCUUUCUGGACUGUAACUGACGCUGAGGCAUGAAAGCGUGGGGAGC
rnacentral:rRNA from 1 species